GCCAGGCGCGGUGGUACGUGCCUAUAGUCCCAGCUCUUCGGGAGGCUGAGGCUGGAGGAUCUCUUGAGUCCAGGAGUUCUGGGCUGUAGUGCGCUAUGCCAAUCGGGUGUCCGUGCUAAAUUCAGCAUCAAUAUGGUGACCUCCUGGGAGUGGGGGACCACCAGGUUGCCUAAGGAGGCAUGAACCAGCCCAGGUCAGAAACAAAGCAGGUCAACACUGCCAUGCUGAUCAGUAGUGAAAUCCCGCCUGUGACUAGCCACUGCACUCCGGCCUGGGCAAUAUAGUGAGACCCUGACUCA
rnacentral:SRP_RNA from 1 species